UUUAAAACUUAUUUUUUCCCUGAGAUUUUGCCUGUCAGGCUGGGUGAUUUUGUGUUUUAGAUCCUUUUCUGAAUUCUGUGGUUCAGUUGAGAUUCAAAUCAAAAUAGGUAAAAGGUAACUAGGCCAAGGCCAAAGGUAGUUGAUGUUUUGAUUGAUUUGUCUUGUAGUUGUGGUAAUUAUCCUACCAAGUAUGCUCUACCCCAACGGCCAGUUGACGAAGCAUGGCAAUUUCGACGAGAUGUUGUCAUUGUGGCUCGUGGGGCUGUUCAGCUGGUGUGGGUUUGGUGCGUUGCGGAUUUGGCUUCGUGCAGCGCAGAUUUAGUGUAGCGUGGUGCGAGUUUGGCCUGGGUGGUGUUUCACUGGUGAUAGUGAUAGCAGCAUGCUGCUAUUUCAUGUGUCAAAUUAGGUUUCCAUGGAGACAUCAACAAGCCCCACUCACAUUGCUCCAACACAACCACAAGUGUGACGUCAGCAGAAUAGCAGCGUGCUGCUAUCACCGGUGAAACACCACCCUGGUGACGAACUUGACGGGGUGUCAAUAAAGCUGGAGUCACCUUCAGCGCUAGCCAGUAAAUGUGUAGAUAAAAGGAAGCUGAAAUUUAAAAACAAUCUAACCUUACCUAACCUUACCUAUUGGCUAUUAACAUACUAACCUAUACCCUACACCCUACCAACUGACGGUGACGCCAGCUUUACCAUAAACCGUAGGUUGUAGUUUAGUAGGUAAGGUUAGGUCAGGUUAGAUAAUGUUUUGUUCUGUUAGACUAGGUGGGUAUUUGAUUAGAUUUAAAAGCGAAUUUUGUGUAAAUGUCUCAAGAACUGGAGAGUCUAGCGACUUCACAAAUGGGUGGCAGCAUGUGAGAUGCCUGCUAUAUGAAUACCAGAAAGCCUUCUCUAUGCCUCAACCCCCUGUUCUGGGCUGGGCGGACACUUUCAUCCCAUGUGGGAAGCUCCCCUAGGAGCAUACACGGAGCCAGGUGCAGUGUCAGGGACAGGGUGCCCUGUUCACUGGAUGGGCUCAGCCCCAAUGACUUGUACCAGGGUGUUUGCCCAUACCAAUAGCUCCCCCUAAUUCCUAUCAUUCCUCCAACUCUGUAGUCUUUUUGGGCCAAAACUUGAAAGGCAACCCAACAAAACUUUAAAUUGAUUUUUAACUUGUGGCAUAGUACUUACUAUUUUGCCAGUCUGACAACAUCCCAUUACUGCCUUGACUGGCUUUCUUCUCUCUCAGGCUGAUCCUGUGUCACAGAGCCACAUAGAUGAGCAGCUACCCAUCGUAGGAUGCACACUCAACCUCCUGCUAGUUUCUGAGCCAAGUCAGCUUGACAGAGGGGUCUGCUAAUGCACAGUCACCUAGCCACUGCUAACAGAUGCUGGCUGGGACAGACGCUCAUCAAAGGUGUGCCACACGACAUGGGCAUUCUCGUUCUGCAUCAAGCCUCAAGGUGCCUCAGCCAAACGGCAGUGAGAAAUAAGGGUUGAAGAAGGAAAAGAAGAGGACUGAGGAGAAAAUCCAUUUACCACAAUUUUAUCACUGUGGACAAUCGCGAAUGCGUAGUGUAAUAUACCUAUUAACUUAGUAGCCCAGCACGCUCAAGAGAUCUUGGAAACUGGACCACCCCAGAUCAGUAGAUGCAGACAUGCACGUGCAGACGAAACACCAGCGCCAUGCAUGGGGUCCAAUCUCACCAUGGAAAUGCCAAAGCACACAGCUCAAGCCAUGCUGCCAUCCACAUGACGUGCGGCCAGGCUCGUUGCUGUCGGCGGUUCUGAAGACAGCGGUGCGAUCCAGCUGAAGGACGUCACCUGGCAGGAAGUUGUAGAGUGUGGUGGCCAGUAUCAAGCCACAUUGUUCAGAAACCAUCACAUUAUCUCCAGGUCACUAGUCGCCGGUGCUCGAGCUGACGGCGUCGUUCAAGGGCUCCACGGUGACAAGCGCCGUCACCGCUGCCGCCGCCGCCGAGACCAUCCGACUCCUGGGCCCUGUUUCACGGCAGCGUACUGCAGCGCGCUACGCAGCGCUGCUGUGUUAGUGCGGCGAUUGAGACGAAUUCGGCUCGACGCUCCAGCGUUGCGAAACACCCGUGUCUAUGAAGGAUACGCCGAUACGUCUUCCAGCUUCAAGCCCUUCCCGCCCCCCCCCCCCCCCGCCCCGUCCCAACGGUGUUGGCCGAGAUUGGGGUUGGUAUUUUAACGGGCUCUCCGAUGACGUCCCGCAAUUUGUGUUAUGUAAUUUGACGAUUAUGUCGUAGUCUCAUUCUGUCUCGAUAUGCUAAUAAAUGAUAAAUGGGACGGAGGUUGGAAGUAAGGUGUGAGUGGCUGUAACCGGCAGGUUUUGGCGAGCGCGAUAUUAGUUAUUGUGAGCGCGCCAGCUGCAUUAAAUCGCGCGCUUCUGGCGAGAAAAUACUUGCUCUGGAACCUAGAAGUUUGUCGUGAAAUCUAUGUGCCUUUGGAUUGAAUUAUUAGAACAUAAUGUACUUUCGGUGUCCAGCACUGCAGCUCUGGAAAUAGAAAUAUGGAUGUUGGCUGUUUGAUGUAGCAAGGGCUAACAAUCUGCGUCAAGAAUCAAAAGCUGUAUGCAAAUUAAAGUGAAUAUAUUUCAAUGAAUUUUUAAAUUUUGUGAUACAAAACAUAAAUGUGUCAACUACUGAUUACACCCGGCUGCAAACACUGUAACGCUUGCAAUGCUGUACGGCAAAUAAAUAAUAUAGAUUCU